AUUGAACGCUGGCGGCAGGCCUAACACAUGCAAGUCGAACGGUAACAGGAAACAGCUUGCUGUUUCGCUGACGAGUGGCGGACGGGUGAGUAAUGUCUGGGAAACUGCCUGAUGGAGGGGGAUAACUACUGGAAACGGUAGCUAAUACCGCAUAACGUCGCAAGACCAAAGAGGGGGACCCUCGGGCCUCUUGCCAUCGGAUGUGCCCAGAUGGGAUUAGCUUGUUGGUGGGGUAACGGCUCACCAAGGCGACGAUCCCUAUCUGGUCUGAGAGGAGGACCACCCACACUGGAACGGAGACGCGGUCCAGACUCCUACGGGAGGCAGCAGUGUGGAAUAUUGCACAAUGGGCGCAAGCCUGAUGCAGCCAUGCCGCGUGUAUGAAGAAGGCCUUCGGGUUGUAAAGUACUUUCAGCGGGGAGGAAGGGAGUAAAGUUAAUACCUUUGCUCAUUGACGUUACCCGCAGAAGAAGCACCGGCUAACUCCGUG
rnacentral:rRNA from 1 species